rnacentral:rRNA from 1 species
CAGUCGAACGGGUGUACGGGGAGGAAGGCUUCGGCCGGAAAACCUGCGCAUGAGUGGCGGACGGGUGAGUAACGCGUGGGCAACCUGGCCUGUACAGGGGGAUAACACUUAGAAAUAGGUGCUAAUACCGCAUAACGGGGGAAGCCGCAUGGCUUUUCCCUGAAAACUCCGGUGGUACAGGAUGGGCCCGCGUCCGAUUAGCCAGUUGGCGGGGUAACGGCCCACCAAAGCGACGAUCGGUAGCCGGCCUGAGAGGGCGGACGGCCACAUUGGGACUGAGACACGGCCCAAACUCCUACGGGAGGCAGCAGUGGGGAAUAUUGCACAAUGGGGGAAACCCUGAUGCAGCGACGCCGCGUGAGUGAAGAAGUAUCUCGGUAUGUAAAGCUCUAUCAGCAGGGAAGAAAAUGACGGUACCUGACUAAGAAGCCCCGGCUAACUACGUGCCAGCAGCCGCGGUAAUACGUAGGGGGCAAGCGUUAUCCGGAUUUACUGGGUGUAAAGGGAGCGUAGACGGCGCUGCAAGUCCGGAGUGAAAGCCCAUGGCUUAACCAUGGUACUGCUCUGGAAACUGUGGAGCUUGAGUGCGGGAGGGGCAGGCGGAAUUCCUAGUGUAGCGGUGAAAUGCGUAGAUAUUAGGAGGAACACCGGCGGCGAAGGCGGCCUGCUGGACCGUAACUGACGUUGAGGCUCGAAAGCGUGGGGAGCAAACAGGAUUAGAUACCCUGGUAGUCCACGCCGUAAACGAUGAUUACCAGGUGUCG